CGAUCUACGUCAUCAAUGUUCGCAGCGGCCAUAUUGUUGACAUAAAACUGUCAGUCUGUCAAUUGACAAGCGAGGCAGCGUGGGUAUUAUGCAUGUAUUAUCGGUGUAAUUUUUUUUAAACCGCGCGAUGGUGUGUGGUGUAAUACACGGAUGUUCUAACAACAGCAAAAAGAACCCCGGAAUUAAUUUUUAUGCGAUACCGACUGUCAGAAAACAUGAAAGGAAGGAGACAGAGGAGUUGAACCAGCGAAGGAGAGACUCCCAACAGCAAAGUCUGUCCCCAUCAUUUUACCCCAGUUUUCAUGCCAUGACCACUGGGGCGGAAACCAUUAUGACAUUGCCUUGGACAUCAAACUAAACCAUCUCAUUACGGCUUUUGAGGUGGACUCUAACCUCGAAAUCUCAGAAGGACAGGUCUAAGAUGGACGCAGCCUCCAUAGAAUGCAACCUUGCAUUUGAGAAACACCCAUAGAACGGUCAACUUACCCCAUACUCUAACCUGAAUGCAGGGAUCAUAAAACUUUAUCUUUUACCUUAAUUGUUAGAUGGGUGUUGAUACCAAACUUUUUUUUCUCUUCUACCUAGGAGAAAGUCAUGGGUUUUGCUGCUAAGGUUGUCAUAAACGUCUUUUAUUCUGCUUACCUGCCGUAUGCAGAAUUCUGGCUUGAUGUUUGGUCCACCUGUUAGCUGGCUCUGGUGCUUGGUAGUCUUCUCAAACCUCUGAAUCAAGACCACCAUGAGAGGCCUUCUGAAGACCAUCAUUACGCUUCAGAUCCAGUUGUCUUUACUAUGAGCCUACCACAAUCCCUGUGCACCAGCUAUGGAAAGUGCAGACCAAACUUCUACCUCCACCUGUGAGUCUCUUCCCACAUGUAGUAAAGUAAUGAAUGCGGUCUCACAAAUGAAAGGUUUUUUAGGGUACAUUAUUUGAAUUACCAAAUGAUUUCUCGGAUGAAUUGGAUAAAAAUACAUUAUUUUAUUUUUCAUUUAUGAAAACUGGUUGUUGCUGCAUGAACUCAAGCACAUUUAUUUCAAACACA